GCGAGAGUGGCGGAACAGGCAGACGCACCGGACUUAGGCUCCGGCGGUUCACACCGUGGGGGUUCAACUCCCCCCUCUCGCACCA
rnacentral:tRNA from 1 species